UUUACCAAAAACAUCACCUCUAGCAUAAAAAGUAUUAGAGGCACUGCCUGCCCAGUGACUUUAGUUCAACGGCCGCGGUAUCCUGACCGUGCAAAGGUAGCAUAAUCACUUGUUCUCUAAAUAAGGACUUGUAUGAAUGGCUUCACGAGGGUUUUACUGUCUCUUACUUUUAAUCAGUGAAAUUGACCUUCCCGUGAAGAGGCGGGAAUAAAAAAAUAAGACGAGAAGACCCUAUGGAGCUUUAAUUAAUCAACUCACAGAUUAUAACAAUAAUCUACUAAGAAUUAAACUUAUUCUACCUGAGCUGAUAAUUUAGGUUGGGGUGACCUCGGAAUAAAAACUAACUCCCGAGAAAAUUUAAAUUAAGACAUACAAGUCAAGAUUAUCCUAUUAUAUAUUGAUCCGCUAAUAGCGAUCAACGAAACAAGUUACCCUAGGGAUAACAGCGCAAUCCUAUUUAAGAGUCCAUAUCGACAAUUAGGGUUUACGACCUCGAUGUUGGAUCAGGACAUCCCAAUGGUGCAGCCGCUAU
rnacentral:rRNA from 1 species